UACGAAGGGGGCUAGCGUUGUUCGGAUUUACUGGGCGUAAAGCGCGUGUAGGCGGGCUGGAAAGUUGGGGGUGAAAUCCCGAGGCUCAACCUCGGAACUGCCUCCAAAACUUCCAGCCUGGACUCAAGCAGAGGCAAGUGGAAUUGCGAGUGUAGAGGUGAAAUUCGUAGAUAUUCGCAGGAACACCAGUGGCGAAGGCGACUUGCUGGGCUUGUGGUGACGCUGAGACGCGAAAGCGUGGGGAGCAAACAGG
rnacentral:rRNA from 2 species